rnacentral:rRNA from 1 species
UACGUAGGGUGCAAGCGUUGUCCGGAAUCAUUGGGCGUAAAGAGCUCGUAGGCGGUCUGUCGCGUCGAAUGUGAAAACCCGGGGCUCAACUCCGGGCUUGCAUUCGAUACGGGCAGGCUAGAGUUCGGUAGGGGAGUCUGGAAUUCCUGGUGUAGCGGUGAAAUGCGCAGAUAUCAGGAGGAACACCGGUGGCGAAGGCGGGACUCUGGGCCGAUACUGACGCUGAGGAGCGAAAGCUGGGGGAGCGAACAGG